rnacentral:rRNA from 1 species
UACGAAGGGGGCUAGCGUUGCUCGGAAUCACUGGGCGUAACGCGCACGUAGGCGGGUCUUUAAGUCAGGGGUGAAAUCCUGGAGCUCAACUCCAGAACUGCCUUUGAUACUGAGGAUCUCGAGUCCGGGAGAGGUGAGUGGAACUCCGAGUGUAGAGGUGAAAUUCGUAGAUAUUCGGAAGAACACCAGUGGCGAAGGCGGCUCACUGGCCCGGUACUGACGCUGAGGUGCGAAAGCGUGGGGAGCAAACAGG